CAGUAGCCGCGGGAAUACAGAGGGUGCAAGCGUUAAUCGGAAUUACUGGGCGUAAAGCGCGCGUAGGUGGUUCGUUAAGUUGGAUGUGAAAUCCCCGGGCUCAACCUGGGAACUGCAUUCAAAACUGACGAGCUAGAGUAUGGUAGAGGGUGGUGGAAUUUCCUGUGUAGCGGUGAAAUGCGUAGAUAUAGGAAGGAACACCAGUGGCGAAGGCGACCACCUGGACUGAUACUGACACUGAGGUGCGAAAGCGUGGGGAGCAAACAGGAUUAGAUACCCGCGUAGUCCCUGUCUCUUAUAA
rnacentral:rRNA from 1 species